CGCGUAGGCGGGUCGCCAAGUUGGGGGUGAAAGCCCGGGGCUCAACCUCGGAAUUGCCUUCAAAAACUGGCGACCUAGAGUAUGGCAGAGGUGUGUGGAACUCCGAGUGUAGAGGUGAAAUUCGUAGAUAUUCGGAAGAACACCAGUGGCGAAGGCGACACACUGGGCCAUUACUGACGCUGAGGCGCGAAAGCGUGGGGAGCAAACAGGAUUAGAUACCCUGGUAGUCCACGCCGUAAACGAUGAGUGCUAGUUGUCGGCAUGCAUGCAUGUCGGUGACGCAGCUAACGCAUUAAGCACUCCGCCUGGGGGAGUACGGUCGCAAGAUUAAAA
rnacentral:rRNA from 1 species